UACGGGGGGGCAAGCGUUGUUCGGAAUUACUGGGCGUAAAGGGCUCGUAGGCGGCCAACUAAGUCGGAUGUGAAAUCCCCAGGCUUAACCUGGGAAUUGCAUCCGAUACUGGAUGGCUUGAAUCCGGGAGAGGGAUGCGGAAUUCCAGGUGUAGCGGUGAAAUGCGUAGAUAUCUGGAGGAACACCGGUGGCGAAGGCGGCAUCCUGGACCGGCAUUGACGCUGAGGAGCGAAAGCCAGGGGAGCAAACGGG
rnacentral:rRNA from 1 species